GCUAAAAAUUAGGAGUAGAGAAUAAAACAAAUUGUUUCUCACUCUGUCGACGAUUGAAAACGAUUUGGUUUCUUAAUUCCUACUUUCUAAACGAAAACUAUUUGGGUUUCAUCUCUAUCAUCAUCUUCUUCAAUCUCAAUCUCUUCUCUCACAUCAAUUUGGGAGCCGUUUUUAUCAGCAAUGACAGUUCUGAAGCUCCGUAAUAGAGCGGGAACACACCCAAAUACGCCACGAUAACAAUCAGGGGACUAUUUAUUGAAAAGUGUUUAGGUGGAAAGUGUUUAGGUGGGGCUUAAUAAACAUACUUGUACUUGAGAAAUAAAUCAUAAUUUUAUAGUAUGCAAGGAAUUUCUGUGGUGAGAAUGGCGAAGCCUUUCCAAAGAAGAUACGCCUCAGGUCAAAUUUGCUGGUUAAUAUUAGACCAUCUCCGGGAAUUCAAGUAAUUAAUCUUUCUAACUAUUAAUUAAUUAAUUAAGUAGUAACUUAUAUGUACAUUACAAUAAUUAUGUAACGGUGUAGUAUCUUCUCCCAACGUUUGCUCUGUCCAUCUCCUCGAGCUUAGAUCUGAUAGAUCUAGCUUUUUUCAGAACGGAAACAAUGUCGGAAUUGAUUCGAUGUCGAGGUCUUUCAUGGCGGCCUUUUUGAGAUCGAUGUAGUUGGUGAAUUAGAGAAGCAGUUGGAUCUUUGCUUUCAGUCACGGGAGAGGGCAUCUUGGCAUGGUCUGGAGAUGAUAAUUUUGUUGUGGAGGAUAAAUCAAGGAUGCAACCUGAGGCAAUAUAUUUUAUUUAUUGUAUUCUUUUUUUUUUUUUUUGAAACGAAUUUAUUGUAUUCUAACUCCUCAAGUUGAUAAUAGCUAAUUCUUACAAUGUAUAUUUUAUAUGGCACCCAAUUAUUUUAGCAAUUGUUAUGCAAUGUUGAAAAAUUAUUCCAAUAUAAGAAAACUUCUUAAUCUUUAACCCCAAAAGUGUAAUGAACUUAUAAUAAACGUUUUAAAUAUAUUUUUUUGGGCUUUCAAUUUAAGAAAAAUAAUCUACUAUGCAACUUAUAAAAAGUAAUAUGGUAGGAAUCUUAAUAGAAUUAUAUUUUUAGCAUGGCACACAACUGUGAGGUAACUGUUAUGUAAUGUUAAAAAGACUAUACAUGUAUGCGAAAACUUCUUAAUCUAAACACCAAAUCUGUUAUGAAAUUAUAAUAAACUUUUUUAAAUAUAUUGUAUCUCUCAUACAACUUAAAAAAAUAUUAUUCAACUUUUAAGAAACCAAUAUCUUAGGAACCUUAAUAACAAUGUAUUUUUAACUUGGUACACAACUGCUUAGCAAUUGUAAUGCAACCUUAAAAUACUAUUUUAGUAUUAAUAACAAUCUACCCAAAGUAACUUUUUAUGCUGUAAGAGUUCACAGAGAAAUUUAAAGAAUUAAAAUAAAUGUCAUGUCUCCAUUUAAUUGCUUAGUUGUGGUCUGUCUUUCGGUUGUGACCUUUUUGGCCACGUUUGCUGCACUUAUUAUGUUUUUUAUUUUUUUUUAUUUUUCAUCCACCUAUAAACUUUCGUUUCCUUGGUCUUCCUGAUCUCACUUUCUCUAUUCAGGCAUCAUUUAUCUCGUUGAAUCUGCAACGUCUUGAUGAACAACUUGCGAAAGAUGUUUGCCGUGCAACGGAGAUAUCAGAAGCAAGCAACUCUCGGGAAAGUGACCAAAUUCCUGCAACCAAUGAUCGUUCAGCACUGAAAGAAAUAUCUGAAGAUUUAAUUAAUUUUUUGGCGAAUAUUUCUGAGGUUAAAGCACCUGCCAGUCUUCAUCCGUCUCUGGGAUUUUGUGAUUCAUCAAAACAUAUUGAUGAUGCCAAAUCUUUAAUGAUGCUACAAAAAAUUACAUUUUGAGAAACAGAUUGUGUCUUCUAAAUUUUCUAUAAGUAAAUAACAAGUAUUAUUU